rnacentral:snRNA from 1 species
AAUCGAGAGCUCCAAGUGG